UUAUCAGACUUGUUACAAGGUUGUUCUAACAAGUCUGAUAGAGUCAUGAUAUACCAAGACGACACAAGGUUGUAACAAUAUUGCUAUAUCAUGACUGUAUCGGACUUGUUGGAACAACCUUGCAACAAGUCUGAUAA